ensembl:lncRNA
GUGUUCUAUACAGAGACGCUAGAACUGCAUUUAUGAACAUGCAUACAUUCAUUAUUUGAAAUAAUUAUAGAAAGACGGUUAUAGGGCAUUUUGCUAACUAUGGAUUUAAUUCUCUGAAAUAGACUCAAUGAUUGGAAGAAACAGUAAGGAUUUAUUUUUUUUUUAACUCUGCUUGAGGAUGUAGGCCUAUAUGGAUUUACCCCACCUUCCAAUCAACAUCUCUUACUUGAUGACAACAGCUGAAAAGAUAAGAGAAAUGGAGGCAUACUUUCAUUAUUGCGUCGGCAGAUAAGAGCGUGAUUUAAUGGCUUGACCCUUAACCUCAGACAUAUGCAGUGCCGCUUCAUCUCUCUGCUCCAUCUUUAUCAGUCAGAGCUCAGCUGCUCUCACAAGACUGCCAGCUCAGAGAGGUAAAGUUCAAACGCUUUUCUGGAAGAGAUUAUGGAAACAUCUUUAUGUGUCAUGGAGAUGUGAUAAGCUCUCUGUCAGGGUGAGCUCUCGCUUUGCUCUCCGGCGGCCAUAGGUGCACUCCUGUGAUGCCGCAGUGGGCGAGUCUGGAGAUUUUAAGGGGAUCUGAAAAAUAAAUGAUUCUAG